ensembl:lncRNA
AUGGUUUCGGGAUUGAUUUUUAUGCUGCAAAUGUGUAUUUUUGUAGUAGCGUGCGGCGCAUAUACUGUUACAAUCAUUCAUUGGUGUGGUGACUAUACAUUUUCGUGGGGCAGAAACCGGUAUCACGACUUUUUUUUCUCUCUUUUUUAUAAAAUUAAUCCCCUGAAACCAUACUUUCCAGCGCAGGCAAACCGCUGGAUGGAUAACCCAGUUUCGUCAAAAUUCAAAGAUGAGGGAUUUGUAUUCAAAUAUCGGACGGCCCUCUACGUUGUAAAGCGACGAAUAGGGGGUACCCUCGCCGUCGGCUUAUGGACGUGAGGGGGAAAUGACCAAACAGCAGUAUGUGAUCGAAAAUUAUAAAAUAUCCCACCUAAAUUAAGGCAUGUAUUAAGCAUACAGCAAAUACACAGUCCUGCAAAUAUGCCAUUUUAAUGUAACGUUAGCCCAAAAUUAUAUAAAAAAGAGAGAAAAAAAAGUCGUGAUACCGGUUUCUGCCCCACGAAAAUGUAUAGUCACCACACCAAUGAAUGAUUGUAACAGUAUAUGCGCCGCACGCUACUACAAAAUACACAUUUGCAGCAUAAAAUCAAUCCCCGAAACCAUACUUUACAGCGCAGGCAAACCGCUGGAUGGAUAACCCCAUUUCGUCAAAAUUCAAAGAUGAGGGAUUUGCACUCAAAUCUAUCAGACGACCCUCUACGUUGUCAAGCGACGAAUAGGGGGUACCCUCAACGUCGGCUUAUGGACGUGAGGGGGAAAUGACCAAACGGCAGUAUGUGACGAAUAGGGGUGAGACUGUGUUGCCAACACAUAUGUCCUGUCAGUCAUCAGCUAUACCCCAGGAGGAAUAUGAAACUGUCAACAAUAAAACCCAAGAACAAUGCAUCAAGGCUGCAAAUCACAGUCCAGUACAAAACAUGAACAUAUCAGACACAUGCCUCUCAAUAAAACAGGAAAGGUCAAAAGGUCAAGAUUUGACUAGUUAGCCAGUGCUAAACUGAAAAAAAAAAUCACAUCCCACAUAAAAACACAUCACAAUAUAAAAAAAAAAAACGUAUGGCAAUCUACUCUUUUCUAACCACUUAACUUAGUGUCCAGACAUGAUGUGGUUUUGCCACUUUAAUGCACAUGUAAUGGAAAGACACAGAUAUUUUCAUUUAAAUGAAUCAGAGCUGUGUCAGGAAGUUGUAUUUACCUCAUGUCCUAUCAUCUGUCUGUCUAUCCGUCUAUAUAUCAAUAUAUCUCUAUUUGGAAGUAUAUGAGUAGAAUCAUUAUUUAUUUAUUUAUUUAUUUAUUUAUUUAUCAGUGCAUUUUACAUUAUUUAAAGGAAUACUUUCUUAUUCUCACAAAAAAUAUAUAUAUAUAUAUUAAUAAUAAAAAUAAAUAAAAAAAUAAAAAAAAUAAUCAUGCAGUUGCCAUUAUACAAUGGGGACCAGGGGUUGCCAAAAAGCACCACAAAAAUAGUCCAAAUGAUAGACUGUGCAAUAUUCCAAGGUUUUUUUUUUUUUUUUUGAAGCUAUACAAAAGUUUUGUAUGAAGAACAGACUGAUCUUGCCUGACAGCCACUGGUCAUUAUGAACAUUUGUUUUUAUGGCAUGAGCUGUGCAAUAAUUCUUCAAAAAUGUUUUAUUUUGUGUUUCACUGAAAACAAAUUUACAACAUAUAGGUUUGGAACAACAUGAGGGUGAGUAAAUAAUGACAAUUUUCAUUUUUGAUUGAACAAUCCCUUAAAAAACUCUAACAUUAUGAUGAUGAAUGACUAUAUGAUCAUAAUGUGCUUUCAGCACCCUCUUAUUUGCACUACCGAGAAAGCUUACAAUUGUGUGGCCAAAAGGAUAUGGUGCAAUAGAAGGAGAUGAAUUUAUCAAACUGUUUGGACAUCCACAACAAAAACUCACUCAUUGGUUGUAAUGUUUCUCUCCUCUACUGGUUUGAUUACCUCCUUAACAUGUACUCGCGUUUUACUCCUUGCCAGGAGCAAGAGAUAUUUUAUUGCACAUCUGUUCGUCUUUAAACACCCUGAGGAUGCUGUGGAUUGAAGAUGAGGAUCAAAGAGAGGUGAGUCUAUCACACUCAAUCUAGUUCACUAGUGCAGCAACACAUACUCCACGAGUAACACUGGCGUUCAGAAGAUAACCAAUGACG